rnacentral:tRNA from 1 species
GCCGAUGUGGCGCAGUCAGGCAGCGCACCUGCUUUGGGAGCAGGGGGUCGGCGGUUCAAAUCCGCCCAUCCCGACACAA